CUGAAGAAUUGCACAAGUUACAUCCUGAAGCAUAAUGGUAGAAUUUACACAAGUUUGUCAUGCUCCUUUGGCGGAAACUAACACACUGCUUUUGUGACGCAACAGUAGCAGGGGAGAUUUGCGUUUUUGGCAAAGAGGAGGGGAGGAACUAACAUGACGGCUUAGAUCAAUUACUGAUGAACUAACAUGAUGUGGCCAAAUACACACGAGUCUAAACAAGACAUGGGUCUGCUUUCCUCUUAAGCAGAUAUGAUCAUCAAGCUGUUUCCAGCGACAGAAGCGGAGCCUGGGGAGAGGAGAUGAACCUGUGCCUGGGGUGAGGACAACCUAGGAUGAGGAGAGCCUGGGAAGCAGUUGAGCCCAGCUCCAGCUCGCCUCAACCUGGGCGGACCUGGAGAGGAGGAGUCCCUGGAGAAGGAGAGGAGUCCCUGGGCGUGGAGAGGAGGAGCGCCUGGGCGCCUGCGUUGGUCUGGAUGGAGGUGGAGCUGUGGCGCCUGGAGCUCUGGGGUGGAGCGCCGGCGAGGGAGCUCCGGACGGUGGCGAGGGAGCUUCCGAUCACGGCGGGGAAGGGCGACCAAAGAGGGGGUCUGGCUCUUGAUUGGAGCGGCGUAGACAGCCGGCGGGGAAGGACGCCGGAGAUGCGGACAACGAAGGAGCCUGGCGAAGGGGAGGAGGGACGGAAUCCUCCUCCGCCUGGCGAAGGGGAGGAGCGAGGGAGUCCUGGCGGAGGGAAGGAGCGACGGAGAAAGACGACGACCUGAGCACGAUUUCAAAUCAGGGGCAGUUUUGUAAUUUCACUAUUUUUCACCUGGUCGGAAAAGACCCCAGCGACAAUUAUUUCGGAACGG